UUCUAGAUCUUAUGAUUGAUUAUCCUUUGUUGCCACUCAACCUCUCACAAUCAAGAAAUGAAGGGGAUAGAACAAACCAAGAAUAAUUAAUGUGUUUUCUAAACAGAAGUUUGUUGUGGGCAAAGAGAUAAUAGCAAAUGCAAGUAGAGAGGUGCCAGACAGUGUUUAAAUGGAAUCUCUCUCACUUUCUCUUUUUAAAGUGAAAAAGAAAGGGGAGCUUGAGCAGUGAAGAAUUUAGAACCUGACUGGUACAUACUUCACUCGAGAUUUCCCUGUGAGCAGAAAACUGCAUUGAUGCCGAUCAUAUAAGGAAUGUCAACAAAUAUUUCGAUUCAGAUUUGAUAAACUACUGUCAUCAAUGUUGGUAGUUUCUACUGAUGUCAUGGGAAUCUUUAUCAAGCAAAUUCAAGAAACCUGGAAUCCUGAACAAAGAAAAGAUUUGGUCACAGAAUCUGUAUUCUGAACAGUAAGUAGUUUGAUUACACACUAUAAAGAUGAACAUUGGUUUUUUUACCCCACUGUAGGUAACUUUCCACAUUUGCCUUUCUUCUACCUGUGUAAGAAAUUUAGUGUAGUAAGCAGUUUCUGCCUUCUCUGAAAACUCAAUUUCAUUUCACUGGAGUGGAUUUUUAUUAAUUUACCCAAUAAUCCUCUUAGAUAAGAUCAUGAUAAUCCAUGCAAUGUAUCUUUGGGUCAGUACAUAGUGAAAAUAUUGGUGUUGCUUUUACUUUUUUUGUUUUGUUAACAAAAGUGCAUUGUUGUAAUACUUGAAAUUAGCAAAGUAAUAAAGAAUAAUCUGAAAAUUGGUCA
rnacentral:lncRNA from 1 species